rnacentral:rRNA from 1 species
UGCCAGCCGCCGCGGUAAUACCGGCAGCUCGAGUGAUGUCCAAUAUUAUUGGGCCUAAAGCGUCCGUAGCUGGCCGUGCAAGUCCAUCGGGAAAUCCACCCGCCCAACGGGUGGCCGUCCGGUGGAAACUGCACGGCUUGGGACCGGAAGGCGCGACGGGUACGUCCAGGGUAGGAGUGAAAUCCCGUAAUCCUGGACGGACCGCCGAUGGCGAAAGCACGUCGCGAGAACGGAUCCGACAGUGAGGGACGAAAGCUAGGGUCUCGAACCGGAUUAGAAACCCCAGUAGUCC